rnacentral:tRNA from 1 species
UGGGUUGUGGCUCAAUGGUAGAGUGCUUGCCUAGCGUGCAUGAGGCACUGGGUUCAAUCCCCAGCACCACAU